CCACAGGUUUUAUUUUUUUCCUUUAACAAAAGAAGGACUUUCCUCCUCAUUACAUAGAUCACAGCUUAUUACGUCCAAAGCGUAUUUCCGUGGUCUGUUUAUGGAAAUCAGCGUUUAGAAGGAGAAUUUUUUUGAGGUUACAUGUGCUUUUUAUACAAGCAAUGGGGCAGUGACACUCCUAUGGAGUUAGUCCUUUUAAAGCUCUGCAAAUGGCUAUUAGCCCUUAGGUUUGAGAAGGGAGUGAAACUUACCUGAUGGGCCACCUGGACCCUCCAGGUCUCUCCCUACCUGGCGCCCUCUCCAAAUCCUGUGUGCCUAAUCCUGAGGGGGCGUUAGCAGCACUCAACUUGCUUUGUUUAUCUGGGGUGAUGUUCCUCUGAGCAAAAUCCGUAAGUGUUUUUUUUGUGUGGGAAAUGAAAAGCCAAAUAAGAGUGUAAGUGAAAAAGUGAGCUAUGUCCUCUCAAAGCGUACGUCAUCCAUUUUUAUGUUGCUGAUUAUACAAUUUCUAAAUUGCCUGAAGGUGUUAAGUGACAACUUUUGAAUUUGCUAUUGGAACUCUACAAAUUAUAUAUACAAUAACAUACAUUAUUUUUAGAGGAGAGUUAUGAAACACCUCUGAUACCUCUUUUCAGUCUCAAAAGCUGAGGCGGAGAAAGCGCAGAUGUUCAUCAGCCCAUUUAAAAGGUGAGGAAGGGAAGUCUCAAAGAGGUGGAGGAGGAGUUCAAGUUCACACAGCUGGCCAGAGAUGACUCAAGGCCUCCAACCCUGACUCUGAACUCCUGGGUCAGGGCAGCAAGACGACUUGUCAAAAUCCAGGCAGACAUCAUUGAGAAAUAUACACAAGUGGUUUCCCCUCACUCCACACAGAGACCUUAACACCUCUCUAUUCUCCAUCAUCAGCUGCAGUCAAUGAACCAUAUAAAUGCAAACUUCAGAAAUGCUAAAGUCUCAUAAGCAAUUUUUAAAGGUAUUAAAAUACAAAACAGAAGUAAACAAAAUUUCUUGCCCCAGGGAACUAACUAAUCCAAAGUGAAAAAAUAAUGGAAGUUUGAAUGCAGUCUCAAAAGUGGCCAUAAAAUGGAAUUCAGAAUUUUAUUUUAAUGUGUAUACUACAUACUUGCUUUGCCAAGGAUGACUGGUAGUAAAUUCUCAUUUAUAAAACUAAGCUAUAAAAUAAAAAAAGAAAUAGUGGAAUGAGAGGCAAGAGCGCGCAAGCAAGAGCAGGUGUGAACGGUUGCAUGCGAUGGCAUUCGUCACAGCUGGGGUAUCAGAGAGAGUCAGAUCCUAGGUCAGAUGCACCAUAGGGGUCCCAGGAUAGUCCAUCGCCCCUCCCCCAGGACUGGCCUUGGCAUGUAACCCCAGCAGCUCCAGGCAGCUGUCUUUCGGCGGAACUUCUAGGAGUGGGGGCACCCAUCAGCGCUAACCUGCGGGGCUCCAGCUGAGGACAGUCUGGCCGUGGGAGUUUAUAAAGUAAUGGACAACAGGCAAUGCUCUUCCUGCCCAACAGCAGUGGUCAGAGGGACAGAUCUAUCCUCACAGAGACUGUCAGGCACUGUCGCUACAGACACGGCCCCUCCCCCGGCACUCAGUCCUGCCUGCCUUACACAGGAGGACAGGAAAGGAACUUCCAAUGAGUCCAUCUUUUAUGUUAGGAGAGAGGCAAGGUGCUGAGUUUCCCAUCCGGGGAGUUCAGCUGCACCCUCUCCCCAGCCCCCACCUCCCUGACUUCCUCUCCUCCCUACUACCCCUAACCAGUGGCCCAUCAUUCCUUUCCCAGUCAGUCUUGGCUGUGAUGUUAAGCGGCUCUGCUGGACCCCAUAUUUUGUCUGGUCUCUAAAAGGGCACUGACCUGAGGGUACAAAUGCAGAGGCCCCGGGGCAGCUAGGCAGCCGCGAGCAACCCAGCACCCAGCUGCCUAGGGUGCUCCAGGCAGCGGCGGCAGCAGCUCGGAGCUGGUGUCAUUAUUACACAAGCCAGGCAAAUCCUGCUCCAGUACACAGAGCGCAUCUAACCAGCAGGAAGGAAAUAAGCCAAAAUCCUCCCGACACCACACACACACACACACACACACACACACACACACACACACACACACACGAGUCUGAGGACAAGGACAAACACUUUGCAGAAAGAACCCUCCCCCCACCCCACCAACGUCCAAGUCCCUGUUUCAGGAUUCCUCACCCCCCAGUAGCUUCUAAAAUCCUCGUGUUUGACCACCUCUCCCAACACAUGGGACAGAGAGAAUUUGGCUAACUUCAAAUCCUGUCUCCUGAGCACUUGCCCACAAAUAGUAGGGGGAGUGAUGGGGACGCCCCCCUGUUCCCUCCACCACCCUCACUUCUGCCCCCCACGCCACUCUCAGGUUGACAGCGUCGGGGAAAGACAUCAGACCAUCAAUCCAGUUUUUCCUGCCAGCUGGGGAAACAACACUCGGUCACUAACAGCACCCAGUCACCUAGACAGCGAGAGUGAGCCGAGGCAAACACGCCGGGUUCCAGACACCGUCCCAGCCCCCGCGACCCGGGUUUGCAAAGGGCUGCACACGUUCGCCGGAGGGUCGCUGCCGCCUCCGAGAAAGGACUUGAACCUGAGCCCGCUGAAGAAUCACUCACUCUGGAGGAAGCCAGACAUCAUGCUAUAAGGACCCUUUUGCAGCUGUGUAAGAGACCAUGUGAAGGGCAGCCGAGGUCUUCUGUCAAUGCCAGCAUCAACUCAGCAUCAACUCGCCAGCCAUGCAUGAAGAGAAAGCGGGCUCAGAGAAAGGAGACAGAGGGACACAAAGAUGAGGGAGACCACACGGCUCUGAAGGGUGGUGAGACGGCUCUGUUCCAGGCACUGUUCCUGUUGUCUGCAGGUCAGCUACUCUUCCUGCUCUCCAUUCUGUGGUGGUGUGAGAUGUUACUAUAACCUUCCAA